CUAAAGCUAAGUUUCCUUUACCUAUAACAAUUGAUAACUUUAUUCGUUAGAAAGCGAUGGUUUUACAAGCUACAAGCUUGUUUGAUACGGCACCCUAGUAAUUCUAGGUUUUAAAUGGACGGGAGGUGGUAACUACUGAGAAUAACCCAACUGUCUUAGUCAUUACCUAAGUAUUUACCAAGUCCCAGUGUCGUGCCUUGUGUCGUUGUUACAAAUAGCUUGGCCACGAUCUAUUGUGUUAUCAUUUGUAAAAUGUAUAAUUCUAUGGUGAAUGUGCCGCACACGGGGCAGAGCGUCUACCAGUGGCGGAUUUGCCCUAACUUAAGGCCCAGUAGGCCCCGGGCCAAGCGCGGCAAAUUGUGACAAAAAAUUCGCUGAUGAUAACAAGAAAUAACUUAAAAUGUAGUCAAUAUGGUGGGCGCUGCGAAAGGGGCGGCUACAGGGCCUGAGGCUGGAGCUAGAUCCGCCACUGGCUUCUACCCUAGGUAAAGGUAAGUAAAACUACCCCGUAAACAAGUGAAGGAUAACGGUAAAGGCAUUAACCUCUAGCCGCCCAUACGUCAAACCUUGCCAAGCAAAAUGAAAUUUUAUUUUGUCAACACAAAGUUCAAAUUAGAAUGGAACAGGAGACCUUUUUAUAGGUCUCUGGGCGGCUAGAGGUGAAUCUAUCCCACCCUCUUGAAGCAUAUUCUAGCAGAGUAAAGGGGUAGGGAAGUGUGCCUGGCGCCGAACCUGCCCCGUGGGGGCACUUGCCCCGGCUGACCUCGCUAUCCUUGCUGUAAUUGUCAUAAGGAGCAGAUACUGGGCAAUUUUGAUUGCUUUAAAACACUGGUUUGCUGAGUUACAUAGACUAUCUGAGGUAAGGUAUCGUAAGUAGUUUCGCAAUGGCCUAAAGUGUACAAAAGAACGAAAUCCUAUUAAGUAUUAUUCUUUCCCGUGUGUACUUAUUUUUAUAUUUUCCUAGGGCCAUCAACUAUUUAAAAAUAUUACUAACCCUAUUAGAUAUGAAUUUCAGAUGUGUCGAAAGUAGUUUAUUUUUGUUAGUCUAAACAUAAAAAUAAAAUGACUUAUGGCUUGUAAAGUAUUUAGUUUGUGAUGAAGUAUGUAUAACAUAAACACUAUGUAACUAUAUUAAAACAUCUAAAAUGUGUAAAGAUACUAAGUAAAUUGGUGUGCGAUGCUAUGUACUAAAUUAUUCACGGUAUGUAACUGUUAAAUAUGUAAGUCUUAAAUAAAUACACGUAAAAUGCCA